UACGGAGGGAGCUAGCGUUGUUCGGAAAUACUGGGCGUAAAGCGCACGUAGGCGGCGCAGCAAGUCAGGGGUGAAAUCCCGGGGCUCAACCCCGGAACUGCCCUUGAAACUGCAGUGCUAGAAUCUUGGAGAGGCGAGUGGAAUUCCGAGUGUAGAGGUGAAAUUCGUAGAUAUUCGGAAGAACACCAGUGGCGAAGGCGACUCGCUGGACAAGUAUUGACGCUGAGGUGCGAAAGCGUGGGGAGCAAACGGG
rnacentral:rRNA from 1 species